AAUCUUCUACCUUUCCUCUUCUCCUCAGGGCUCCCACGGGCUGCAGACAGUCAUUAAAAGUGAAUGUUAGGACAACUAUCCCUGCCCUAGACAGGGAGCCCCAGGCCAGGCACUCUGUAUAAAUGACCUGAUUUAGGAUGCUCAGACUCAGAGAAUGAAGAAGAUACAGGCUUGACUCUCACUUCCAACAAGCAAUCACUCUGAACCAGACCUGACCAGCUCUAAAGACAAGCUACCCUCAACUCGUCCAGAAGGGAUCUGAAGCUGCCCUUCAAAGACUCAAACAAGCACUUGAUCUGCCAUCAAAGCAUGUACCUGGCCUUCCUCAGAACCAUCAGCAUUUUGUAUUGCUGGUUUCUCCAACUAAAAGCCCAUAGAGAGCUUUCAUUGUUGUUUGGUUUACCUGCCCGGAUCCUUACCUCCCUCUAGAUUCCAGUCCCUCUUCCAUGCCUUCUCUUUUGGCAGCUCCUGCCUGAAUCAGCUACGCCACGGAUUCACUGAGCUCCAUUUUUUCAGGCCUCAUGUGUCUUCGCUCAGUGUUUCUAACCAGCUCCUUCCUUUUCGCCUUGGGGAAGGAUGUUCCGACAAGGGAAGGAUCAUAUGAAAAGAGCCUCCCAGUCUUCAGUUGGUGUGUAAACAUUUUCCAAUGUAAAGACAGGAACAGAACCACUUAACUAUGAGGAUGCACAGAAACCAAUUAUGGAAAUCUAUGCUGCAGUAAGAGGCAUCGGUAAGAGAGACCGAUUCCACCAGACCAUCAACAUCAAGAAAACAGACACCUCAAACUAAGAUCUCUCAGGUGUGUGAGAGAGAUAAAGGUAGAAGGAGACCACGUGGGGGAAAGAAGAUUAAAGAGAAGGAAUCAGAAAUGAAGAUAAUGAAAGAUGCAAAAUAUUACGUUUUCUCUCAUAGUGAGAAUGCACCAAGGGAUCUGAAGAGAAAACCAGCAAACAAACAAACCAAAACAAAUGGCCAGCAAAGACAUGGAAGAUACUUAACAUCUCUAGUGAGGAAAGAAGAAUUAAAUCCCAGAGAGAGAACCCUUCCCACUGCUGCAAUGGCUUGUAUCUGUAGGAUGUCAUACAAGUGAGGGCGGGUACAGGAUAGAGCGAGGCCUGUCAUUGGAUGAGAAGGAAGGAUGGGCAGGAGAAAAGUUUGAGGGAAGAGGAAGAAACUGGAAUGGAAGAGAUGGGAAGGAAGCCACAGAGAGAACAUGGAGGCUGACGUUAAGAUUCCACUCUGUGUAUUUACAGGUGGUUAGGAAUAUUCUUAAGGGAUGGAUGUGUAUAGGGCUUUGUAUGUUUAGGUGGGCAAUUAUAUCUUAUCAAUUGG